UAUGAAUUCAAUCUGUUCUGGUCCCCAGCUUGUAGUAUGUCUCUUUCUCUCUGAAUGGCUCUCAAAAAUGAGAUGACAAUCUGUAGAUGUUUCCCUUUACCACCAAGGGUCCUAAUCUUUUGGAAGACAUGGGAACAGAUGAAAGUGUUUGGUUCUGGGAAUGGAAAUUACAGAUGGAUAGAAUCCCAUUACAAUGAGCUUCGCUGGCAUUUUCUGUUGAGCAAUUAGCUUUGUCCGAGAAGAGGCUUCCUGCCAUGUCCAGAAGGAAAUGCAUAAGGCAAGCUUCAUAACCAAGAAUGAUUGAAAACAGGAGAAAGAAUUGCUGUCAAAGAUUAUACAGUACAAUGGAGUUGUACAGUGGGGCUCAAGAAUAUAAAUGUUAGCAGCAAAUCUCUGGCCACUUGAUAAUGAGAAAAACUAGUGUUUGAGUGUGGAUAUCACCAUCAGUGUUCGACUUCAAUACUG
ensembl:lncRNA